GCCGAGCCGCCGGAGCCAGGCCUGGACUACAAGAGAGCGUCGGGAUCUUUCUUCCUGCGCCGGCGGCCGGGCGAGGGCCGGUAGGAGGAGUCGGUGCUUGCACUGUGGCCAUGUCUGUGUCCUCCAGGGACCGGGGCCCCGCAAACCUCCGCCCUCACGCCAAGCCCGGCUGGACACUCUUGUCUCCCCGGGGGUCUGGCAGAGGACAGUGACUGGCACCUCCCAUGCGCCUGGUGUCCCCCCCAAAGAAAUAGGAGAGCCCAAAGCAUGGCUGCUGAUGUGCAGAGGAAGAGAAGCAGUGACUGCCCUGAUGGCACGUUGGCUCCUUCUGAUGAACUGAGUGUGGAGAGAGCCGAGAGCCCCACGCCAGGACUGGCCCAGGGGAUGGAGCCAGGUGCCGGGCAAGAAGGUGCCAUGUUCGUCCAUGCCCGUUCCUAUGAAGACCUAACUGAGUCAGAGGAUGGGCCAGCUUCUGGGGAUAGCCCCAAGGAGGGUUCUGGGGGUCGCCCACCACUGCCUACAGACAUGCGCCAGAUCAGCCAGGACUUCAGUGAGCUAAGUACCCAGCUGACAGGAAUGGCCCGUGACCUACAGGAGGAAAUGCUACCUGGAAGCUCUGAGGACUGGCUCGGGCCCCCUGGGGCAGCCAGUCGGCCAGCUACAGAACCCCCAGGGGAGGGCCCAGAGGAGGGGGAUGAGAAGGACCCCACAGAGGCAUGGCGCCUGCACCAGAAGCAUGUCUUUGUGCUGAGUGAGGCAGGGAAGCCUGUAUACUCCCGUCAUGGGUCUGAAGAAGCACUUUCCAGCACCAUGGGCGUCAUGGUGGCCCUGGUUUCCUUCCUGGAGGCAGACAAGAAUGCCAUCCGCUCCAUCCAUGCAGAUGGCUACAAGGUGGUAUUUGUGCGCCGGAGCCCGCUGGUACUGGUGGCAGUGGCACGCACACGACAGUCGGCACAGGAGCUAGCUCAGGAGCUGCUCUACAUCUACUACCAGAUCCUGAGCCUUCUCACUGGUGCACAGCUGAGCCACAUCUUUCAGCAGAAGCAGAAUUACGACCUACGGCGCCUACUUUCAGGCUCAGAGCGCAUCACUGACAACCUGCUGCAGCUCAUGGCGCGAGACCCCAGCUUUCUGAUGGGGGCUGCAAGGUGUCUGCCCCUGGCUGCAGCUGUGCGGGACGCUGUGAGCGCCAGCCUGCAGCAGGCACGUGCGCGCAGCCUGGUCUUCUCCAUCUUACUGGCUCACAACCAGCUUGUAGCACUUGUGCGCCGCAAGGACCAAUUCCUGCAUCCCAUUGACCUGCACCUGCUCUUCAACCUCAUCAGUUCCUCCUCAUCCUUCCGUGAGGGUGAGGCGUGGACACCUGUAUGCCUGCCUAAAUUCAACUCGGCAGGCUUCUUCCAUGCACACAUCUCAUACCUGGAGCCUGACACUGACCUCUGCCUGCUGCUGGUCUCCACUGAUCGUGAGGACUUCUUUGUGGUCUCUGACUGCCGCAGGCGCUUCCAGGAGCGCCUUCGUAAGCGUGGAGCCCACCUGGCGCUGCGAGAGGCACUGCGCACACCCUACUACAGCGUUGCCCAAGUGGGUAUCCCUAACCUGCGCCACUUCCUCUAUAAGUCCAAGAGCUCAGGACUCUUCACCAGUCCUGAGAUUGAGGCCCCAUACACCAGUGAAGAGGAGCAGGAGCGGCUACUAGGGCUUUACCAGUACCUGCACAGCCGAGCCCACAAUGCUUCCCGCCCACUCAAGACCAUCUACUACACAGGCCCCAACGAGAACCUCCUAGCCUGGGUGACAGGCGCCUUUGAGCUCUACAUGUGCUACAGCCCUCUGGGGACUAAGGCAUCAGCUGUCAGUGCCAUCCAUAAGCUGAUGCGCUGGAUCCGUAAGGAAGAAGACCGCCUCUUCAUCCUCACACCCCUCACCUACUGAUGGGAAUGUGAGCAGACUCAGCCCUCCCAGGACCACUGGACAUGAGAAGCCAUGGGAGCCUCCAGGCCACUCCACGGACACACAACCUCAGGCCACUGAGAUUUAGGUGCCCAGGAGAAGUUGCAGGAGCCAGACUUCCAAGGACUGGCGGAGUCAGAGGGCUCGGCUUUAGGCACGGCACGGCCCACAGCUCCGCCCCGCCGGCCUCUCCCCACCGCCCUCCGAUCCACUGUGCUGGAGCGCUGCGG